AGGAGGGAGGGGCUAAGAAAAACGGGAGAAAGUGAGAGAGAGAGGGAGGCAGAGGGAGAGAGAAAGAGAGAUGCCGAAGGAAAAGAGAGAUCCGCCAGGGUUCGAAGGUUCUAGAGGCGGUUCGGUGGCUGGAUCGGAAAGUCGCCGCCUUCGACUCAAAUCAUCAGCGGCUAGGGUUCGAUUGGUAAGAAACUUAGCCUAAAAUUCCUCCCAUUCUUGAGUUUAAUGAGUUUGAACAGAUUAGGGUUUAAAUAUUGGUGUUUUAUUGGUUGGUAGUCACUAUCGGUUAAUAACCUGUGAAGUGUUAUUGGCUUGCAUAUCAGAAAGUUUGAGGCUGUAAUUAGAGACUAUCAUCAACAUUAGGCUCCUACAACGGUAUAAUGGUAAGGAACAACAAUAUGAACUUGUAUAUUUUUAUUAGUUUUAUGAGUUUUAAGGAAAAUAAAAGUUUUAUGUAGAUGUAAUGGAUGAAAUAGGUUACAAUUAGAAUAUUUACUGAAGAAUCCCUAAACCCAAUUAAUAUCAAUUAUUAUUAUUACUAUAUGUUAAUAUGACAAUUGAAAUGGAUAGUGUAUUUAACGGUAGGUUAGAGCGUCAUAGGAGAAGGGGUUGGACACGUGUAGAUAAAUUUUUGUUUUGGGUUAUGAAGAGACACGUGUUAUGGUGGUAUGCCACAUUGUCUCAAGAUCUUAUACCACGUCUGAAAGAGACAAGUGAAAGCAGAGAGAGAAAGUUCCCGGAGGCAUGGCGGUGCUCCGGCGAAAACCACUUUCCGGAGAAGAAUAGCCUGCGACGGAAGCCGGAGGCAUGGCGGUGCUCCGGCGACAACCCCUUUCAUGUGCGUGAAUGCCUCUCUUCUAUAAAUCGAGAAUCAAGGAACGAUGGUAGUGGUGCAAGCACAAGGCCAACGACGGCUUAGGGUUAGGGUUUCAAUAGGCAAUGAUCAAUCCGUCAUUGACGAUGGCGUGUCUCCAAAUUCUGACGAUAAACCAACAAAAAUGAGUUAUGAUGCUGGUUCUGGUUAUAGCGAUGGCGGUGAUUUCAGAUACGAACUCCGUUCUAGAGAGAUUCCGGCCACUCCUUUUUACAUUCAACUACAAAAGGUUCUUAAUUUAUAUUUAGUAGCCUCAGGAUUUCAAAACAAAUCUGCUCCAGCAAUUAAAAAACUAAGUGAAGCUGCCUUCCCGUGACCACGAUUGGCAAGCAGAGAUCUUUGUAGUCUAUUUCCUGAAUUGUUCUUCUAGUGUCAAUGGUUGUUGAUCCCGGAUCAGCAAUGAGUGACACUAAAAGAAAGCACAUACUCAUAUCCAAAGGAAUGCACUUGCUUUUGACUAGGACAAGCGACAACUUAUUUAACAGCAAAACAAUUAUGUUACUGAAUUGGAACCAAGACGUCCAACACUCAUUGGCAUUCUUGGUUGUUGACCUUCCCUCGAACUUGAGCAAUUUUAUAAACCAUUUGAGAUUUAUGAAGACGUGGCAAGACACUCAACAGUAAUCUGUUUAAAUACGGACCUGUAAAGGUGACGUCGUCGCGCUUACAAAUGAUUUAGAGAAAUAUCAGGUUCGUUAGAAUCUGAAUAUGUUUACGUUCAAAUCCACCCUUUGCUGGAUCACGUGAAUACGGAUCGACAAUGGUAUGUAUAGUAGGUGAACCCGUUUUGUUACCUGUUUCCACAGCCAACCCAUUUUAACAUGAGCCCAUUUUUUGUCAUGCCGUUGUUUUACUCGGCCCAUUUAUGACAACAGGCAUUCAUUAUACUGAUAAUCUACGUAGAAAAUGUGAUUUAUAAAGGCUUGAGAAUGUAGUUGCCGACUUAUUUCAUCACGAAAGCGUUAGAGUGGGUUGUUCUCAAAGGUGAUAAAGGGUUAGAAUGGCAAUGAUCAGCAGUCAUAAAACGAGCAUGUUCUAAUUACUCCGGCCGGCGGCUCUUCCACUCACUAUGACAAAUGAAAACUUUAAGGACCCUAGAUAUGAUUUUUUGAGAGCUUUGUUUGAUUUAAAUUAAUGUUGAGUUUUUUUUUUCUUUUAACAUUAGUUUUGCUUUUGAUUUCAGAAAUAUGAAUUUGAGGUUCGUGCUUUC